rnacentral:piRNA from 1 species
UUCUCAUGAUUGUGAAGGUGUAAUUC